GUAACAAACACAACAGGACCGUUCGACUGGAAUGCAAUGAUUCGGAGUCAACGAACGUUUAUAGAAGAAGAAGAAAAAGAAAAAGAAGAAGAAGAAGAAAAAGACGAAGAAUAAGAAGGAGGAGGGUUACCUCUCUCGAUAGCUCGUAAAUGGUCGAUCCUGUCGGUCGUCGUACAACACUCGUGUACCAUGUUUACGCAUACGGAUGUUCCAAUGGAUACACAAAAUCUGGAGAAAAGAAAGCGAGAGAGGAAAAGAGAAAAGAAGAGAAGAGUAGAGUAGAGUAGAGUAGAGGAAAGAAAAGGAGUGAAGUGAAGAGGAGAGAGAGAGAGAGAGAGAGAGAGAGAGAGAAAAAUAUCGAUGGGUCGUGUCUACGUUCUGUCAAUGAAAUACCGUCGAGGAAUUUCGAGGAGUCCUUCGAGAAUACCGUCCGAGAGUCGAUCGGUAAUCUCUCGAUAAUUUGUUGAAGAAAGAAAGCAACGAAGGUGGAGGAAGAACGAACGAGAAAGAAGAAGAACGAAGAAGAAGAAGAAGAAAGACCGAUGAACACUACCAAGAGAAGCUGGGAUAUGUUUGCACCUCUCUCUGUCUCUCUCUUUCUCUCUCUCUCUCUCUCUCACUCUCUGUCUCUGUCUGUCUUUCUCUUUCUCUCUGAAAUACGUCCGUAAACUUCGUUAACGACUAUACCCCUACCGCGAAACUGGAUUCUGUACUCCAAUUACGUACGACGAAAGUAAAAGGCAAAGGAGGAGUCUCCGACGUAUCGACUGCAAUGUCCGAUAAGCAGUCGAGCGUCGUCGUUACGAUGGGGGCAAAGAGGAAGAAAGAGUAAGAGAGAGUGUGAUCCAAAAAGAUCGAGCACGCGACGGGUCAGCUUCGUUCGAGGGAUCGAGGAAGGAUGAAAUCGAUGGUCCGUAAAGCGCAUCCAUCGACGAUUAUAUAUAUAAGGGAAGAAAUUCAUCGACGGGCCAAGAAAGAGAAGAAGAAGAAGAUGAAGAAGAAGAAGAAGAAGAAGAAGAAGAAGAAAGAAGAAGAAAGAAUAAGUUUUAGUUAGAAGAGAUCUUCUUUCCUUCCUUCCUUCUUUCCUUCCUUUCUUUCUUUCUCCUUCUUCUUUACCCCAAAAGAGAAACCAUUGUCGUGCUUAAUUUACCGUUAAAUUGUUUACAUCUCAUUAAUCGCGAUAGAAAACUAGAAUGAGAGAGAGAGAGAGAGAUAGAACAAGCAUAAGGGGCGACGAUGACGACGAUGACGAAGAUGAUUAUGGCAGCGGCGGCGAUGUUAGGACAAUCAGGAUCAUCGAUGCACAUCACUCAAACAUGAGCCCGUGGCCAUAGCUUUAAUUUCGAUCUGAAUUCAUCUUCCCUACAUUCUGUGGUAGCCGAAUAAUAUUCUUCGAAGAUCGAAGAGGAGAACACUUUUGGGGUGCACUCGACCGUAUCCUUCUUCUCCAAGGUAAGUAAGAGAGACAAAGAUAGAAGAGAAUAGUCUACCAUCACGAUAAGAAAUUUUUACUCGUCGCCAUUACUUCGAAUAUCUUCGAAGUUAACGCUUAAAUUCAUCCUAUUUAUCUUUUCUCUGUUACUCUGUCUCGUUUGAUGUAUAUAUAUAUAUAUAUAUAUUUACGUAUCUAUAUAUCUAUCUAUCUA